AGUGAACGCUGGCGGCGUGCUUAACACAUGCAAGUCGAACGAGAACGGAUUAUAGCUUGCUAUAAUUGUCAGCUAAGUGGCGCACGGGUGAGUAAUGUAUAGGUAAUAUGCCUCUUACUAAGGGAUAACAAAUGGAAACGUUUGCUAAUACCUUAUACUCCUUAUUAACAGAAGUUAAUAAUGGAAAGAUUUAUUGGUAAGGGAUUAGCCUGUAUUGUAUCAGUUAGUUGGUGGGGUAAUGGCUUACCAAGACUAUGACACAUAACUGGUUUGAGAGGAUGAUCAGUCACACUGGAACUGAGACACGGUCCAGACUCCUACGGGAGGCAGCAGUGGGGAAUAUUGCACAAUGGACGAAAGUCUGAUGCAGCAACGCCGCGUGGAGGAUGACACAUUUCAGUGCGUAAACUCCUUUUAUAUGAGAAGAUAAUGACGGUAUUAUAUGAAUAAGCACCGGCUAACUCCGUGCCAGCAGCCGCGGUAAAAC
rnacentral:rRNA from 1 species